UGGGGAAUAUUGCACAAUGGGCGCGAGCCUGAUGCAGCCAUGCCGCGUGUAUGAAGAAGGCCUUCGGGUUGUAAAGUACUUUCAGCGGGGAGGAAGGGAGUAAAGUUAAUACCUUUGCUCAUUGACGUUACCCGCAGAAGAAGCACCGGCUAACUCCGUGCCAGCAGCCGCGGUAAUACGGAGGGUGCAAGCGUUAAUCGGAAUUACUGGGCGUAAAGCGCACGCAGGCGGUUUGUUAAGUCAGAUGUGAAAUCCCCGGGCUCAACCUGGGAACUGCAUCUGAUACUGGCAAGCUUGAGUCUCGUAGAGGGGGGUAGAAUUCCAGGUGUAGCGGUGAAAUGCGUAGAGAUCUGGAGGAAUACCGGUGGCGAAGGCGGCCCCCUGGACGAAGACUGACGCUCAGGUGCGAAAGCGUGGGGAGCAAACAGG
rnacentral:rRNA from 1 species